CAUCCGAUUUUAUUGGUUUAUACGUUAUCUUGUUGCUUAUUAAUUCCUCUUUCAAAAAAAUAUAACUUUUAGUAUAUUUACGUUGUUAUUAAUGGAUGUAUAGCGAGUUAAACACGAGAAAUACACAUUUUAUGUUUUACCCACGCGCGUUUAACCUUGUCGAUACUUUGUUACGUAACCAGUAGCUAUCGAUUAGUAGAAACGAAAGUAGCUCGCGGUCAUAACGCUCCGAACUGAUGCUACGGUCUUGGCGAUUAUGCUUUUGUUUAGCUGUAGGUGGAUGGUCCACGGCCGUCCACAAGCUCAAAUGACCAUAUAUGGAGAAAAAGGCGGGACCAAACCAAAUAGGCUUGCAAUGCGCAUGCCCGAGCAAAACCGAUUGUAAGCCAUGUUGAAUUGUUAGCGUGAAAAGAAAUAUUGGAUAUUUUAAUAUGAUGAGUAUUCUAGGUAGAGAAUAUGGAUAGUAUUACCAUUAUUAGUAUUACGUCAACAUUAACUCAACAAUUGUAUUGUUGACAUGAAGAAAAAGCUAUUUCGAGGUUGUUUUGACCAUUGAUUGCUAAUUGUUUCCCCUGGAAAAUUCGUCGAGUCAGUAUCGUAUGGGCAAUUUGGCAACGAUAUAAGGAAACAAAAAAAUUGCCGUAAAGAGACUGAUACCGAAAGUUGGUCGUAGUUUUCAAGAUGGCGUCUGUAAAUCUCCACGCGAGAAAUCGUAACGAAGACAAAAUAAUGUUAUUUUAUUGUUUUGACGAUGCAAAAGCUUACAUAAAAAGAAAUGAAAUUGAUACGAAUAACCUACAUAAUUGGUUACAGCACAAAAACCUUUGGUAAUUCAGAUCGUACCCGCGCCAUGUCGUACCGGACUUGUCUUCAUUUGUAACAAAUGUAAAAUAUAACUUCUGUGAUUGAUCAUAAUCAUAAACUUAAAAGCUAAGAGAACAUGACUGACAAAGAUCUAUUGGACAGUGAUUAUGAUGGGAUUUCACAAAUACAUGAGCACAGUUACAUUGUGAUAUCGGACUCUGACGAGACACAACCACCUUCACCUUUUGGUUGACAGGAAUAUUCCAGUGAAAGAUCAGUUGUUCAACAGCCUUUUUGACAAACAAAUUCCUGGUGCUGCCAUUCCUAAUCAACCGACAUAUCAGAAUUUUGGAUAAGAAUUCAGAUUACUGGCUGCAUAUUCAACCGAAUUUUUGGGUCCUGGGUUGGUGGGGGGUAACGUGUUUCAGACCAGAAUCCUGCCGGACCAUCCAAUUGCAAGGACAUCUAACAUAGCUGAAAUGUAUCUGUAAUGAAUUAUUAAAAGUUUGGAUAAAAAAUGUGUUCUUAAAUCAUUAUUUUAAACAAAUUAUACACCCAGGUUGACUAUUUUGAAAAAAUGAAAAAUGACAAUUUUUACACAUGGGAUUUUUCAAUGUUUCCGCAUUCACUAACAUUACUUUAGACAAUGUAAGAUAGACAAACCAUACAUAUUUGGAAAUGGUUUACUAAUAUCUAUCAGAAAAUGUAUAAUUUUACUGGGUUUAUGUCAAUUUUCAAAAUCAGUGGUUAUUGCUAAAAAGAGAGACAUGUUAAUCUAUAAAAAAUAGUUGGUUUGAAAGAAACACAUUUAGCUUUCCUUUUUGUUUUCCUUACAAUAUUGACACUGGGACCAUUGACACGACCGUUUAGUAGACCUUCGUCGAGUCAGUAUUGUAAGGACAAUUUGGCAACAUGGUUAGGAAACAAAAAUUUUGCUGUAAAGAUACUGCUACCGCAUGUUUGUCAAAGUUUUCAAGAUGUCGUCUGCCAAUCGUCACACGAGAAAUCACAAUGAAGACAAGAUACUUUUAUUUAAUUGUUUUAACGAUGCAAAAGCACAAAUUUAAAAACAUCAAAUUGAUAGUAUAAUCGUUAAAUAAUCGGUUAUAGAACCAAAAAAUUCGGCAUUUCCAUUUUUGUUUUCCUUACAAUAUUGACACUACCGUUUUGUAGACCUGACUAGAGUGAAUAUUAUUAAUGAAAUUGUUGUCAAAUAUUAUCAAUUAUAAGUUGAAGAGAAAUACAAUUACCUUCCAUUAUUGUCAUUUUGAAUACAUUGAAUCGAGCUCUGAUUAUUUAACAAAUUAUCAUUCAAGUACUUUUUAAAUAAACACAGUAAACUUCUAAUGGAAAAUAACAGUAUCAACUGUUAGCAAUUCAGCGUACAUUGUUCUGCAUGCACUUAUUUUAAUUUAUUUAUUAUUAAGUAACAGCAGUGCAAUCUGUAAAUACUGUUCUGGAUGCAUGGAUAUUUAUACCCAGGUGAUGAUGGCCAUGUAUUCACAGCCAUGGCAACACAGGGGCAUUAAGCAGCGUUUUCUCAGUAUUUGAUUACUAUGUUAAUCACUUGAAUUUGUACCAAAAAGCGUAUGUCCUUCAAGAUGAGCCAUGUUAGAGCAAAAUAUUAAAAAAAUUGUGAAUAUGUUAUUAUUUUUUAUUCACCAUUUACUAAAUUAAUACUAAAUUUACACUGGCACCUAUAAAUUCUGCCACACUCAUAUAUUUCUUAAAUGAUGAAAUGUUUGCAAUACACUAUGGUAUUAAUUAUUUUUAUACAAUAAGUUUGUAAAGACGUUAUCAAAUCUAUUUAGCUUUUAUGUGGCCUGAAUAUUUAUCACAACGGGUAAGUAGAAAAAAGCAUGCCUCACAGAUAGCUUUUUACUUGCAUUAAUAUUUUGACUUAAAAAAAUGAAAGAAUUUUUCCCCAAUUGAUAAAGUAUUGUUCAUUCCCAUAUCCUGUCACAAAAUUCCUUAUUAAUUGUCUUUCAAAAAUCAAAAAAGUUUUAAAAUGAAGACUUAUAAAGGUGAAAACAUUUGUACUUUCUCUUUUUUUAAGAACAAUGUGAUUCUAUGUACCUUUAUCAACUAUUGUAAUGCCCCCAGUUUGAAUGAUCGGGGGUAUAUUGUUUUUGGCCUGUCUGUCUGUCAUUCUGUCCCAAAACUUUAACCUUGGUAACCUUGCGAUAACUUUUGAAAUAUUAACUUAUGAAAUAUUGAACAUAUCAACUUGAUAUUUGGCAUGCACGUGUAUCUUGUGGAGCUGCACAUUUUGAGUGGUGAAAGGUCAAGGCCAUCCUUUAAGGUCUAAGGUAAAACAAAAAUCAAAGCGGCGCAAUAGAGGGCAUUGUGUUUCUGACAAACACAUCUCUUGUUCCUAUUAAAUGAAUGAAUUCAUGAUAUGGAUUUUUUGUUUAAUUUCAAUUUUUUGUGUUUUUUAUAUAAAGUGUAUACAUAAGCAGAAAAUAAAAAAAAUCUGUUUUGAUGAAUAAUUUCAGUUUUUACUUCAUCCUCCCAUAAGGUUUGUUGGGUCCAUGGGGUGAACCCUUAUAUGUAUGUGAGCCUUGGACAUCAGGUUCUGAAAUGCCACCAUGGUACAGACAAGAAUAAGAAGAGAAAACUGGAAAAGGAGAAGACAAAGACAGUUAGCAGUGAGCAACAUUCAUAUGCUAAAUAGAAAACAAGGCAUGCAGUGCAGCUCUCCAAAAAAUUGGACUGUCCUGCUUCUAUCAUUCUGAAGGAAGUGUUGAUAUUCACCCCUGAAGAGGGUUCAUCAAGCGAGCUGGACAAAAAAAUGGCUGCUUCUAAUGUGAGGAGUGAUCUGAGUAAAGGCAUCAAGAAGAUAAUGGUGGUGUUUCCUAACAUCGAACACAAGUACCAUACAAGUGGAGAGAACGCUGGGCUGUUGCAACGUAUCGACAGUGAUGUUGCCUCAAAAAUUAAAGAACUUGUGGUGGAAGAGGGCGUUGCAAAUGUUGAAGAAAUGCAACGCCAUCUGACCUCAUUUGUUAUGAAGAAUGUAACACCUGCUCCAUCAAGAACUAAAAGGAGAUUUGCCCCUACAAAAAAGUGAUCAGAUAUCACAUGAAUAAGGCAGCAAAGAAGGGUUGUGAUAGCAAUGAUGACCAACACAACUUGGUUCAGCUUGUGAGUGUGCUUAGUGUGUAAUUAACAGUUACUUCAAUACAGAUAUAUAUAUUUAUCACAUGCCAUACCCUGCUUCCCCUUGUAAUAUAACCAUUACGAAUAUUUUUAUCUUACACAUGUGUAAUAUACUUUUUAAGGAUUUUCAUUGGCUUAUUUUCGUUUGAUUGACCAAUCGCAUUUUGUUAUGUUGCUGAAAUAACAUUGCAACGUCAAAUGACGUCACGAAAUGUAAACAACAUUUCGGAUUUAUCAUUAAGUUUGCGAAAAUAUUUUAAUAAUUUUUUGUGUCCGGAGCCAUAUCUUGGAAGUGCUUUGGCGGAUGUCAUUGAAACUUGGUAUGAGUAUAAAUAUGGAUAAGAGGAUGAUACAUAACAUUUGACAGAGUUAUACAUCUCAUUAAGCAAAAUUUAAGAAAUUGUGUUAUUAUAUUUUCAUCUAUUACUUUUCGGCCUAAGAUGCUAAGGUCAUACAUUGUUUUGUAAACGAAACAUGCGACAUAAUUUUCCUUUAUCAUUUACAUUUGUUGUAAAUAGUGAGCAUAUUAAAAUUCUGAUGUCUGAUAUUAGUUUGCCUCUUGUGAAUAGAUUUGUACCAUUGUUUUGUUAAAUGGACCUUUUCACGUUUUGGUUAAUUGACGAAAUUGAUUUUUUUUCAGAUUUCAAAAUUUUCGUUGUAGUUUUAUUUUAGCGAGGAAUCAGUAAUACUGAACAUUUACUAAGCUCUACAAUAUUACAGUAUUUGCAUAUUUUGAUGAUUUAAACACAUUAAAAAUUUAAAGCAUUAUGAAGGAAUAAUUUGGCGAGUUCUGUUGUUAUCAUUAUAUUUUGUGACAGUACGAUGAUUGCUGAUAUAAAUAAUAACAUAAACAUAUUACUUACUAUACGAUCACAGAUGGGCGAGUUGUUUAAGUUCUAGUGUUUUACUCAAAUGGUCAGUUGUUUAAGACUAGUUAAGGAUAACUUUUUUAUCUUUGAUUUUGUUCUUGUUUAAUUAUGGAGCUAUUUAAUUCCGAUGUAAACAUUUAUCUUUUUACAUUAUUUUAUUUAUUUCAUCAUUUUUAUUUUUAAAACUUCAACACAUGCCAAAAUCCGUGAAAAUAUCCAUAUACAGGUAUGCGUUUAUAAUUGUGGCAUCAUUUACGUCAAUUUCUUUAAACUAUGACUUUUUCCCUUCGCACCAAGACAAGAAUAUUAAUUGAUUAAACCAAUGGUUAUUGUUUGCUUUUGAAUGUCUUGCUAUUGAACAUUUGAUAAUCUUAUCCGGAGGUUGUUGCUUUCCCGGGAUUUUAUUUUUGUUUUGUUAAUUUAUUAAUUUUCCAGCGUUUAGAAAUGUCAUGUUUUGCUAACAUUUAUAAAUGUAUUUAUACUUUUAUUCGCACUUUGAUCGUAGUACUUUCAUGUUUGGCUUUCUUUCACAUGGAACGAGUGUUCAUUUUAUUUUAUAAAUAUCAUCUACGGUUGAGUGGUUCGAUUUAACUUCUUUAAUUUAAGACGCAUUCUGCAGAAUACACCAAAAAUAUCGGGUUUGAUGAACCUUAUAUAUUUAAUGUUGUGCCUUUCUGUUAUUAAUACGCUCUCCUUUUCUAUAUUUUGUAAUUCGUCUGCAAAACAAAAGCGUUCAUAUUUGCGCUCUUUUAUUGCUAUUUUAUAUUUUUUCUUGAUAAAAAAUCAAUGCAUUUUUUAGCAUUUGCGUAUAACCAUAGUUUAUUCGAUGUUAUGGUAUGAUUUUCUUGAAACGAGAUGGUUUGCCACAAACGUGAAUGGCAGCAAUGUAUAGAUUGUGUGUAAACCAUUUCACCAUUUCUCCCAUUUCACCUUGAAUCAGUAAAUAUUAAAGAUGAAGUUCGUGUAAAUAAUGCGUUGUUAAAACGUCAAUUUUAUCUGCAUUUUAGGAGACGUAUGAUGUUAACUGUGUAUAGUUGUGAAAUUAACCAUAUUCGUCAUUAUCGCAUUAGUUAUGGCGACACUCUUCAAAGAUGAUCUUAAAAUACUUAAAGUUGUAAUUAUUGUUUAUUUGUAACCUUUUAAGUCUAGUCCGGGUUUUCGCAACAAAUAAAUUUAACCAAACAUAGGACUGCACUCAACAGCACUUAUGUGGCCAAGGAUGGUUAAAUCUCAUAGAUGUGUGUUCAUAUUGAAAUACCAUAUAAAGUUGUAUAUAUUUAUGUAUGCAUGCAUGUAUGUAUGUAUGUAUGUAUGUAAUGAUAUACAUAAUAGAUAUAUUUAGUCUUAUAGCCUAACAAUUGAUCCAUAUGCAUCACGCACAUUUACCAAUAAGGUGUACUCCUUUUUAUCAUGUUAAUGUCAUUGAUUAAAAAAGUUGCAAUAUUAUAUGAAAUCAUGUUUUCCCUUCAUAAACAUACCAUGUUAACCAGUUCAUAACAAUAUCGUCCAUUCUUUAUCUUCUACCAUCACUUAUAAAUAAAUUGUAUAAUCCAUAUAUAAUGUAAGCUAUGAGCUUGUAUAAGCUUUGUUGCUGAAUAAAUGUUGUUCUUGUU